rnacentral:rRNA from 1 species
UCGAGAAUCAUUCGCAAUGGGCGAAAGCCUGACGAUGCGACGCUGUGUGUGCGAUGAAGGCCUUCGGGUUGUAAAGCACUUUCGCUUGGGAACAAGGGAAGCUGGCUAAUAUCCAGCGGACUUGAGGGUACCAGGUAAAGAAGCACCGGCUAACUCCGUGCCAGCAGCUGCGGUAAUACGGAGGGUGCAAGCAUUAAUCGGAUUUAUUGGGCGUAAAGGGCGCGUAGGCGGGCUUUCAAGUCAGAUGUGAAAUCCUGAAGCUCAACUUCAGAACUGCAUUUGAAACUGAUAGUCUAGAGGGUAGGCGGAGAAAAUAGAAUUCCACAAGUAGCGGUGAAAUGCGUAGAUAUGUGGAAGAAUACCGGUGGCGAAGGCGAUUUUCUAGCUUAUACCUGACGCUGAGGCGCGAAAGUAAGGGGAUCAAACAGGAUUAGAUACCCCUGUAGUCC